GACGUAGGGCGCGAGCGUUGUCCGGAUUUAUUGGGCGUAAAGAGCUCGUAGGCGGCUUGUCGCGUCGACUGUGAAAACCCGCGGCUCAACCGCGGGCCCGCAGCCGAUACGGGCAGGCUAGAGUUCGGUAGGGGAGACUGGAAUUCCUGGUGUAGCGGUGAAAUGCGCAGAUAUCAGGAGGAACACCGGUGGCGAAGGCGGGUCUCUGGGCCGAUACUGACGCUGAGGAGCGAAAGCAUGGGUAGCGAACAGG
rnacentral:rRNA from 1 species